rnacentral:rRNA from 1 species
GACGAACGCUGGCGGCGUGCUUAACACAUGCAAGUCGAACGGAGAAUUUUAUUUCGGUAGAAUUCUUAGUGGCGAACGGGUGAGUAACGCGUAGACAACCUGCCUCUUAGAUGGGGACAACAUCGCGAAAGCGGUGCUAAUACCGAAUGAAGUGGAGCUUCCGCAUGGAAGCAUCACCAAAGGUGGCCUCUAUUUAUAAGCUACCACUGAGAGAUGGGUCUGCGUCUGAUUAGCUAGUUGGCGGGGUAACGGCUCACCAAGCCAACGAUCAAUAGGGGGUCUGAGAGGAUGUCCCCCCACACUGGUACUGAGACACGGACCAGACUCCUACGGGAGGCAGCAGUAGGGAAUAUUGGACAAUGGGGGCAACCCUGAUCCAGCCAUGCCGCGUGCAGGAAGACUGCCCUAUGGGUUGUAAACUGCUUUUGUACGGGAAGAAACCUUCGAAUGCGUUCGGAGUUGACGGUACCGUGAGAAUAAGGAUCGGCUAACUUCGUGCCAGCCGCCGCAGUAA